rnacentral:rRNA from 1 species
CCUACGGGUGGCUGCAGUGGGGAAUAUUGGACAAUGGGCGAAAGCCUGAUCCAGCCAUGCCGCGUGUGUGAAGAAGGCCUUCGGGUUGUAAAGCACUUUCAGUGGGGAAGAAAGCCUUGGGGCUAAUACCCUCGAGGAAGGACAUCACCCACAGAAGAAGCACCGGCUAACUCCGUGCCAGCAGCCGCGGUAAUACGGAGGGUGCGAGCGUUAAUCGGAAUUACUGGGCGUAAAGCGCGCGUAGGCGGUCUGAUAAGCCGGUUGUGAAAGCCCCGGGCUCAACCUGGGAACGGCAUCCGGAACUGUCAGGCUAGAGUGCAGGAGAGGAAGGUAGAAUUCCCGGUGUAGCGGUGAAAUGCGUAGAGAUCGGGAGGAAUACCAGUGGCGAAGGCGGCCUUCUGGACUGACACUGACGCUCAGGUGCGAAAGCGUGGGUAGCAAACAGGAUUAGAUACCCUUGUAGUC